rnacentral:rRNA from 1 species
GAUGAACGCUGACAGAAUGCUUAACACAUGCAAGUCCACUUGAAUUUGGGUUUUUAACUUAGGUUUGGGUGGCGGACGGGUGAGUAACGCGUAAAGAACUUGCCUCACAGCUAGGGACAACAUUUGGAAACGAAUGCUAAUACCUAAUAUUAUGAUAAUAGGGCAUCCUAUAAUUAUGAAAGCUAUAAGCGCUGUGAGAGAGCUUUGCGUCCCAUUAGCUAGUUGGAGAGGUAACGGCUCACCAAGGCGAUGAUGGGUAGCCGGCCUGAGAGGGUGAUCGGCCACAAGGGGACUGAGACACGGCCCUUACUCAUACGGGAGGCAGCAGUGGGGAAUAUUGGACAAUGGACCGAGAGUCUGAUCCAGCAAUUCUGUGUGCACGAUGAAGUUUUUCGGAAUGUAAAGUGCUUUCAGUUGGGAAGAAACAAAUGACGGUACCAACAGAAGAAGUGACGGCUAAAUACGUG